UAGGGAAUCUUCCGCAAUGGACGAAAGUCUGACGGAGCAACGCCGCGUGAGUGAAGAAGGAUUUCGGUUCGUAAAACUCUGUUGUUAGGGAAGAAAAAAUGUAUAGUAACUAUAUACAAAAGAGACGGUACCUAACCAGAAAGCCACGGCUAACUACGUGCCAGCAGCCGCGGUAAUACGUAGGUGGCAAGCGUUGUCCGGAAUUAUUGGGCGUAAAGCGCGCGCAGGUGGUUUAGAAAGUCUGAUGUGAAAGCCCACGGCUCAACCGUGGAGGGUCAUUGGAAACUAAUAAACUUGAGUGCAGGAGAGAAAAGUGGAAUUCCUAGUGUAGCGGUGAAAUGCGUAGAGAUUAGGAGGAACACCGGUGGCGAAAGCGGCUUUUUGGCCUGAAACUGACACUGCGGCGCGAAAGCGUGGGGAGCAAACAGG
rnacentral:rRNA from 1 species